GAUGAACGCUAGCGGCAGGCCUAAUACAUGCAAGACGAACGGUAAGUUGAGUAGCAAUACUUAGCCAAGAGUGUCGUACGGGUGCGUAACACGUAUGCAACCUACCCUAUACAGGAGGAUAGCCUAGGGAAACCUGGAUUAACCCUUCAUAGUAUUAUUGGAUGGCAUCAUUUGAUAAUUAAAACUGAGGUGGUAUAGGAUGGGCAUGCGUCUGAUUAGUUAGUUGGCGGGGUAAUGGCCCACCAAGACGAUGAUCAGUAGGGGUUCUGAGAGGAAGAUCCCCCACACUGGCACUGAGAUACGGGCCAGACUCCUACGGGAGGCAGCAGUAGGGAAUAUUGGUCAAUGGAUGCAAGUCUGAACCAGCCAUGCCGCGUGCAGGAAGAAGGCCUUUCUGGGUUGUAAACUGCUUUUGCCAGGGGGAUAAAAUUUCCAUGCGUGGAAAACUGAAGGUACCUGGUGAAUAAGCCACGGCUAACUACGUGCCAGCAGCCGCGGU
rnacentral:rRNA from 1 species